GGGGAAUAUUGCACAAUGGGGGAAACCCUGAUGCAGCGACGCCGCGUGGAGGAAGAAGGUCUUCGGAUUGUAAACUCCUGUUGUUGGGGAAGAUAAUGACGGUACCCAACAAGGAAGUGACGGCUAACUACGUGCCAGCAGCCGCGGUAAAACGUAGGUCACAAGCGUUGUCCGGAAUUACUGGGUGUAAAGGGAGCGCAGGCGGGAAGACAAGUUGGAAGUGAAAUCUAUGGGCUCAACCCAUAAACUGCUUUCAAAACUGUUUUUCUUGAGUAGUGCAGAGGUAGGCGGAAUUCCCGGUGUAGCGGUGGAAUGCGUAGAUAUCGGGAGGAACACCAGUGGCGAAGGCGGCCUACUGGGCACCAACUGACGCUGAGGCUCGAAAGUGUGGGUAGCAAACAGGAUUAGAUACCCUGGUAGUCCACACCGUAAACGAUGAUUACUAGGUGUUGGAGGAUUGACCCCUUCAGUGCCGCAGUUAACACAAUAAGUAAUCCACCUGGGGAGUACGACCGCAAGGUUGAAACUCAAAGGAAUUGACGGGGGCCCGCACAAGCAGUGGAGUAUGUGGUUUAAUUCGACGCAACGCGAAGAACCUUACCAAGUCUUGACAUCCCUUGACAGGCAUAGAAAUAUGUUUUCUCUUCGGAGCAAGGAGACAGGUGGUGCAUGGUUGUCGUCAGCUCGUGCCGUGAGAUGUUGGGUUAAGUCCCGCAACGAGCGCAACCCUUAUGGUCAGUUACUACGCAAGAGGACUCUGGCCAGACUGCCGUUGACAAAACGGAGGAAGGUGGGGAUGACGUCAAAUCAUCAUGCCCUUUAUGACUUGGGCUACACACGUACUACAAUGGCGUUAAACAAAGAGAAGCAAGACCGCGAGGUGGAGCAAAACUCAGAAACAACGUCCCAGUUCGGACUGCAGGCUGCAACUCGCCUGCACGAAGUCGGAAUUGCUAGUAAUCGUGGAUCAGCAUGCCACGGUGAAUACGUUCCCG
rnacentral:rRNA from 1 species